CUAAAACAAAAAAGAAAAGGCCCAAGGGGAAGCAACUUAGGUUGGGUAAAAAUAUGAGGAUUAGGUUUUGUAUAAUCAGAUUGAUUGUUUGGGAGAAAUAUGGUAAAGAAAAGGGUUCUCUUCUUCAUCGAGCCGCCACCCUCUCUUAUUGACGGAGAAGGAUAUUUCCGGUCAGACAUUGAGGCGACUCCAGCAAUGCAAGUGACGGAAGAAGUUGUGCUGUCCAGGAAGGUGACUAUGCAGUCACGAACUCGGGAUAGAUCGUCCAUGGAAGGACGACUGCGUUCGGGCUGAGUUCGGCUACCUAUAGGUGUCGCCUCCACGCCCAAGAAGGUGAUGUAGUCGUCGGAGAUCCAGGUGUUAAUAGCCGAGGAGCAUUCCGUGAAGACGUGUUGGGUAUCCGUGUUCCUUUGUUUCGUUCUGCGAGUGACAGGGAUGAUGGAUUCUUCCUUCUCCUAUGCAGGUUGGGCGAGUCUCCGCUGAAGCCAUGGGAGACCUCUCCCGGUUUGGAAACUACUUCGUCAAACACCAGGUCAGUUUCGGCAGUUUGGAAGGCGUCGUUGGAAGAUAUUGAGAAGUAAGAGCCUUCCACUCUCAUGGUGACAGUCCCUUCGUGUUGGGCAGCCGUAAGAACCUCCACCGGAGCUGGCGGUAGUUUGAGAAUGGUAGUUCAACUUAAUAUUUUUGGCUCACCGAUAAUUUUUCUUUUUAUUCAAUUAUGUGUUAUUUUUAUUCAUCCAUUAAAGACAUAAACGUUCAUGAAUAUUCAAGGUCAUGGUAUAUGCAUCAAUAGUAUAACAGUGAAUAAGAAAUACGUCUCUAUUUGUUAGUGAUCAUGAUACGAAAUUGAUAUAAAAUUACACAUGUUAUUAUAGGAUGAAUAUCAUUGAUAUAUGAGGCAUGGUAGUGUACUAUAAUUAGUAUGAAUGCAAUACACAUUACUAACCUGAAUUCGCUUACUGCAAUAAUCCUUUUUCGGUAACUACACUACAAUUCUCUUCUGUGUGUGUGAGUUCUUUCUUAAUUUCGAAAUUAUAUUUUCUGUUUUGAUUGAUUGGUAAUUUUUUUUUACUAUCCCCCUUUCUGAAAACCUUCUUCUUUACUUAAAGCCAAAAAAUAACCAAAAAAUUUCUUUCCUAAAAGCUGGGUAACAACCCCCAUUUUCACAAACUGGUUCCACUAUUUCAAGCAUUAUCUCCCAUUCAAAAUCAGUUUGUUAUUUAUUUUCGAAUUAAAUAUUUAUGUAAAUAAGUACAAUAGCAAUCAGUUUGUGAAUAUUUAUAAAAAUACUAAUUCUUAUUGCAAAAAUAAAUAAAUAAAUAAAAACAAACCUAUAAUGUUAAUAUAUGUACAUGAAUAGUGUGAUGAGUUGAUAAUUAAACUUAAAUGCUAAAAUUCUUCACAAAAUAACUCUAAUAAAUAUACACUGGAGUCUAUUUUAAAUGUUGAACAUUGGACCGGACAAAAGUAGGUAUUUACAACUGCCCAUUUUUACUUGUUGCUUACCUGAUAACAAACAAACUGAGAUUCGUGAGAUAUCAUGGUAAGUAACCAGUAAAGAAAUGAAUACUAGUUUUGUCAAGGUUCAUAGAAAUUUCCUUGACAACAUCUCAAGUGUUUAUCGUCAUGAAAGCGAAGUUAUUUGAAACAAACGCAGGUUGGUGUGCUGCCAGGACUUGGAGUGACAAGUUAAAACCAAAGACGCAGGUUUGUGUACUGCCAGAAUUUGGGUUAAAAAGGUGAAACCAAAGACGCAGGUUGGUGUACUGCCAGAAUUUGGGUUGAAAAGGUGAAACCAAAUACGCAGGUUGGUGUACUGCCAGAAUUUGGAGACAUAAGGGUCAAAGCCAAGAACGCAGGUUGGUGUACUGCCAGAACCUGGAGUGACAAGUUAAAACCAAAUACGCAGGUUGGUUUACUGCCAGAAUUUGGAGACAUAAGGGUCAAAGCCAAGAA
rnacentral:lncRNA from 1 species